rnacentral:rRNA from 1 species
CAUGAAGUGAAGCAUGUAA